rnacentral:rRNA from 1 species
UACGUAGGUGACAAGCGUUUGUCCGGAUUUACUGGGCGUAAAGAGCGCGCAGGCGGUCGUUCAAGUCGAGUGUGAAAGCCCCCGGCUCAACUGGGGAGGGUCAUUCGAUACUGAUCGACUCGAAGGCAGGAGAGGGUAGUGGAAUUCCUGGUGUAGCGGUGGAAUGCGCAGAUAUCAGGAGGAACACCGGUGGCGAAGGCAGCUCGCUGGGACGUGACUGACGCUGAGACGCGAAAGCGUGGGGAGCAAACAGG